rnacentral:rRNA from 1 species
UACGGAGGGGGCUAGCGUUGUUCGGAAUUACUGGGCGUAAAGCGUGCGCAGGCGGCUUCUCAAGUCAGGGGUGAAAGCCCAGAGCUCAACUCUGGAAUUGCCUUUGAGACUGAGUGGCUUGAGUACGAGAGAGGUGAGUGGAAUUCCCAGUGUAGAGGUGAAAUUCGUAGAUAUUGGGAAGAACACCGGUGGCGAAGGCGGCUCACUGGCUCGUAACUGACGCUCAUGCACGACAGCGUGGGGAUCAAACAGG